CACACAUGUGAAUGGGUAUUGGUGAAUUUUGUGUUCCACACACUGAUGUGAGACAUUGUGAACAAUAAUUUUACUCAGCACAGAAAUGCUGAUUUCCAACAGUUGUAUUUCUGUCUUUGGCAGGAAGAGUGCAUGUGACCAGAACAGUGGGACACAGCAAGGUUCUGUUACCUCCAGGGAAACAGCUCCCAGCCCCUCUCCAUCAUUUUUUGAGAUUUUUCACUGGUAUUAUGAUGCCUUCACCAGAGCAGGGGAAAGUCGGUUUUUGAGCAUAAAAGAAGUACAGUUGUGAAGAUAUUGAUCAUUCUCAUCUGACAUACAACUCCAAAGCCUAAAAGAGUUCAAAUUCCUCCACCAGAUAACACAAGCUUUAGAUGCUUGAGCAACACUCAGCAAACAAUAUGAACAGUGUAGAGAAGACCAGAUGAAAAAUGGAACAGAACUAACUGCUGUUUCAUAUGUGGCUGCUCCAUAAAGACUGAAGAAGAUGGAAAUAAAGUCUCUCCACCUUCACAAUUUAUGCCAUUUUUAUUUUUAAUAUACAAAAACUAUUAAUUUGUAGUAAUCAAUCUUUCUGUUUCUCUGAAUAAAGCAUAAAGACCGUUGA